UACAGAGGGUGCGAGCGUUAAUCGGAAUUACUGGGCGUAAAGCGUGCGUAGGUGGUUGAUUAAGCUGGAUGUGAAAGCCCCGGGCUUAACCUGGGAACUGCAUUCAGGACUGGUUAACUCGAGUCUGGGAGAGGGUGGUGGAAUUUCCGGUGUAGCGGUGAAAUGCGUAGAUAUCGGAAGGAACAUCAGUGGCGAAGGCGACCGCCUGGCCUAAGACUGACACUGAGGCACGAAAGCGUGGGGAGCAAAC
rnacentral:rRNA from 1 species